rnacentral:lncRNA from 1 species
CUCUGACCUCAGCCAUCCCCUCAUGGAGUGCCUCUUCCGCGCAGACAGUGGAGACAGAGCUGUCCCCUCAGGACUCUGCCUCCAGGGGCCCCCAGGGCAAUGGGGAGAAGAGACGAAGGCAGCGCUGCAGGAACCCCCAGCCCUGUCAUCAGCACCUGUCACGGGAGCACCAAGGCUGACGGCUGACCCUCCCCACCUCCUGGCAGGAACUGGCGGCCUGGAGACCUUUGACCUACUUGGGAUCGAGUGGCAGAGCCAGGCCCCACACCCAGCUCUUUUAAAAAACUCUGGGAACAGGCACAGAAGAUGCAAGCGGCCUCUUGAAUUCAACCUCCAGCCUUCCCAGAGCCCGCGGAGGAUGCGACUGCGUCCACACGGGCAGCCUCGGGGACAGAAGCCCAUGGACUUUCCUUGAGCCAAACCAGGGCUCUGGCAGCCAGUGAGAGAUGGUGACAGCAAAGCAGCUGCAGGCUGGGCCCCCUCAGUGGGCACAGAAAUCACCACCGCCUGGGAGGCGUGGGAGGGAUUUCCAGGAAAGAGGCCACGAGGUUCAUCAGACUCUGAGAGGGGCCAGCAUCCCUGAAAGGUUAAGGGACCCUGGAUCAGUCAGGGGCUGAAGAAGGUCUCAGCAGUCUCCCUGGACGGCACGGUGGCUCCCAGGCUGCUCCCAGGAGCACACAGGGCCUCCCGGAAACCAAGACCUUGGGACAAAGAAGGGAGCAGCUCAGCUCUGCAUCCCCUUCCAUGACAGCCAGGCCUUCUCCAAAGGGAGGAGAAGACUCAACAGAUCAAACGGUUUGUUAAACGCAUGACUAUGAGAUGUGAGCUUAAAGGAGGAGGGAGGAAGUGAAAGGAGGAACCAGCCCCGCCUCCAGUCUGCACCCCCUGGUUCCCACCGGGUAGCACCUCCAUCCCACCCACCGUCGCUGAACACCUACCCUGUGUCCCAGGUGCCAGGGGAUGCUGUGAGACUCCCACAACCACCCUGAGGCCGGAUGAGGAAGAGGAGGCAGAGGAAGGCAGAACGCCUAGGAGAUCCUCUCCGCUUGACCGCCACUAGGCAUCCCACGUCAGCCCACUUCUCUGCCACCUCCCGGGGCCAAGCUGCUCACCUCUUGCUUGCACAGAGCAGCGGCCACCAACUGGACUCCCGACCCUUUGACCUUGGCCUCUAAAAUCCAUUCUCCGACUCAUCAGAGUGACCUUGUCCCAGCAUCGUUCUGACUACACCAUUUCCUGUCUCCAAUCCUCCAUUGGGUCCUACCAAACGGUAAACAUUUUUAAAGAAAUUAAGGAGACCAGCUAUGGCAUCAUGCUAUAAAGGGGUGGAAUGAACAGCAGAAGGGCCCAGAGGCAGAACUGUG